CGCUCUGGUGGCCUAGUGGUUAAAGCGUUUGCCUCGGAUGCAGGAGGUCGUGGGUUCGAUCCCCGGUCGAGUCA